GAUGAACGCUGGCGGCGUGCUUAACACAUGCAAGUCGAACGGAAAGGCCAAAGCUUGCUUGGGUACUCGAGUGGCGAACGGGUGAGUAACACGUGGGUGAACUGCCCUGCACUUAGGGAUAAGACUGGGAAACUGGGUCUAAUACCGGAUAGGACCACUUCAUGGAUGUUGUGGUGGAGAGUUUUUCCGGUGUGGGAUUAGCUCGCGGCCUAUCCGCUUGUUGGUGGGGUGAUGGCCUACCAAGGCGUCGCCGGGUAGCCGGCCGGUGGGGGUGUACGGCCGCACUGGGACUGAGGUACGGCCCCGGCUCCGACGGGAGGCAGCAGGGGGGAAGCUUGCACGAGGGGCGCCAGCCGGAUGCAGCGACGCCGCGUGGGGUAUGACGGCCUUCGGGUUGAAAACUCCUUUCGCUAGGGACGAAGCGUUUUGUGACGGUACCUGGAGAAGAAGCACCGGCUAACUACGUG
rnacentral:rRNA from 1 species